GACGAACCGUGCGAACGUUGUUCGGAAUCACUGGGCUUAAAGGGCGCGUAGGCGGGCUGCCAAGUUCGGGGUGAAAUCCUCCCGCUCAACGGGAGAACUGCCCCGAAUACUGGCGGUCUCGAGGGAGGUAGGGGCGUGCGGAACUAUGGGUGGAGCGGUGAAAUGCGUUGAUAUCCAUAGGAACUCCGGUGGCGAAGGCGGCACGCUGGACCUCUUCUGACGCUGAGGCGCGAAAGCCAGGGGAGCGAACGGG
rnacentral:rRNA from 1 species